rnacentral:rRNA from 1 species
UACAGAGGUCUCAAGCGUUGUUCGGAUUCAUUGGGCGUAAAGGGUGCGUAGGUGGCGCCAUAAGUCGGGUGUGAAAUUUCGGAGCUUAACUCCGAAACUGCAUUCGAUACUGGCGUGCUUGAGGACUGGAGAGGAGACUGGAAUUCAUGGUGUAGCAGUGAAAUGCGUAGAGAUCAUGAGGAAGACCAGUGGCGAAGGCGGGUCUCUGGACAGUUCCUGACACUGAGACACGAAGGCCAGGGGAGCAAACGGG